UGACAUAAACCCGUAGAUCCGAUCUUGUGGUGAAGUGGACCGCGCAAGCUCGUUUCUAUGGGUCUGUGGCAG
rnacentral:pre_miRNA from 7 species